rnacentral:rRNA from 1 species
AUUGAACGCUGGCGGCAGGCCUAACACAUGCAAGUCGAGCGAGCGGCGGACGGGUGAGUAAUGUCUGGGAAACUGCCUGAUGGAGGGGGAUAACUACUGGAAACGGUAGCUAAUACCGCAUACCAUCAGAUGUGCCCAGAUGGGAUUAGCUAGUAGGUGGGGUAACGGCUCACCUAGGCGACGAUCCCUAGCUGGUCUGAGAGGAGGACCAGCCAGACUGGAAAUGAGACAAGGCCCAGACUCCUACGGGACGCAGCAGUGGGGAAGAUUGCACAAGGGGCGCAAGCAUGAUGCAGCCGUGCCGCGUGUGGGAAGAAGGCCUUCGGGUUGUAAAGCACUUUCAGCGGGGAGGCGUUACCCGCAGAAGAAGCACCGGCUAACUCCGUGCCAGCAGCCGCGGUAAUAC